CCGUAGUCGCAGGGGGCAGAUAAGGUGAGAAUUACUUAACUGAACCUGUCCCACAUGGGCGUCAUCCUCUUGAUUGUGCUGCUCCUGCCAAAAUUGUUCUAAGCUCCAUGCAAUCCAGUUCAACUGUAUCCUUUUGGGCCUGUAUUUCAAAACUAGGAUAUGGAAUGUCUCCAUACAUCCUGUGUGACAGAUGUGGACUAAG